CAGCGGCGCAGCUCCGUUCUCCACGCGUCUCGCGUCCCCGCGUCCGGACAGGGCGCGCAGCCCCGCCGCCGGGAUGCGGCCGCCUGCCCGCCGCGGCCGCCGUCUGGCGCUCCCGGCACUGCUCUCGCUGCUCACCUGCUCCCUGGCUUUUGCUUUGGUUUCUAAAGAUGUGAAGAAGGAGGUCAAACAGUCUAAGAAUUUGGAGAAAAGUGGUAUAUCAGAGAAAAAUGACGUAGAUUUAAAAGGAAUUGCAUUUGUCAUCCAGAGUCAAAGUAAUUCUUUUCAUGCAAAGAAAGCAGAACAGUUAAAACAAAGCAUCUUAAAGCAAGCUGCAGAUCUUACCCAGGAAGUCCCCAGAGUCCUCCUCCUUCACCAGCUGGCUCAGCAGGAAGGCGCAUGGACCAUACUUCCAUUGUUACCGCACUUUUCUGUAACAUAUAGCAGAAAUUCAUCAUGGAUUUUCUUCUGUGAAGAAGAGACAAGAAUACAAAUUCCACAACUCUUACAAGCACUCAGAAGAUAUGACCCAUCAAAGGAAUGGUUUUUAGGAAAAGCGUUACAUGACGAAGAAUCUACAAUCAUUCACCAUUACGCCUUUUCCGAAAAUCCUACAGUUUUUAAAUACCCAGACUUCGCUGCUGGCUGGGCCCUUAGUAUCCCACUGGUAAACAAGCUUACCAAGAGAUUGAAGAGCGAGUCCCUGAAAUCCGACUUUACAAUAGAUUUAAAAUAUGAGAUCGCUCUCUACAUCUGGGACCGAGGUGAUGGACCACCCCUCACUCCUGUGCCUGAGUUUUGUACAGACGGGGUGGACUCUUCCUGUGCCACCACAUUUCAUUCUUUUCUACCACUUUGCGGAAAUCCAGUGAAGAAGAAGGAUAUUUUUGUUGCAGUAAAGACAUGCAAGAAAUUUCAUGGUGACAGAAUCCGCAUCGUAAAGCAGACUUGGGCGGGGCAGGCAGGUCACAUCGAAUACUACAGCGAUUACGCAGACAGUUCUGUUCCGACGGUGGAUCUGGGAAUUCCUAAUACAGAGAGAGGUCAUUGUGGAAAGACAUUUGCCAUUUUGGAAAGAUUUUUGAACCACAGCUAUGACAGAAUAGCAUGGUUAGUCAUUGUGGAUGAUGACACAUUAAUAAGCCAUCUGCUUUCAUUUAUCUCGGCGAAAUACUGAGGAGCAGAAUGGUUGGGACAUAUAACAGGUGUGUUAACUUUUUAAGAAACUUGCGUCAGUGGUAGUUUCUGAGGUGGCUGACUUUCACUGUUCUUAGAAUAUACACAUUGGUGUGUUUGGGGGGAAGGGGCAUAAUACAGAUACGUAUGUGUGUGUGUGUAUAUAUAUAUAGAGAGAGAGAGAGAGAGAGUGAGAAUGAUAAAGCACUAAAAUGUAUUAAUGCAAUUUUGAUUGCACUUGAACAUUUCCAUACUGUUUCUGUUCAUUUCUGUGCCUCAGGUUGCCUGAAAUGGUAACAGAUUGUUCAGUGAAGUUCUUUUCCUGGUUCGGUGGCCAGUUCCCUUGGAUUGAACUGGAGAUCUGCCUGCUUUGGCCACAUUUCCAGUUUUUACCAAAUAUGAAUGAAGUGUGUAAUCGUUGUCAGGCUCAGCUUAUGCCUCUUCAGCUUUAAUAUGAUCUUGCAAAUACGGAAACGGUUAAUGUUACCAGGAAAAGAAACCCAGAUGAGAUGUUAAAUCCUAGUUAUUUUAACCUCAGAAAUUGAGGGUUUAUGGUUUAAUUGAUAAUUUUACAAUAUGCAGGAAGGAGGGAAAUACUUCUCAUUUCUUCACGCAUUUGCUAGAAGGGGCUUUGAGGUUUUCAGGGAGCUUCUUACCAAGCAAAGGCUGCGAUUUCCUUAGAGAUCUUUGUCUCUCCGUGACCGAAUGGUGAUUUACUAGGUGUCCACACCCUUCCCUGCUUUCCCCUGCAGAGGUAUUUAUUAGAUGACUUCCUGAAUACUGAUUCCAAACUAGGAGCCUAGAAUGUUUAACUUCUGUGUCAAAAAUAGGGUAGUUUUCAAACACUUUCUGGCCGAUUAGAAACUGUCACCAUUAUCAGAGCCCUUGACCUUUAGGGCUCUGAUAUAAACCUGAUCAGUCAACUUGGAGACUCUGAGCACCGCACUUGUAAGAGAUUUUUUUUCAUACAUCAAAUUUGUUUUCUUCUCUUUCAGCGUCAGCUUUAUUAGCUGGGUGUAAGAUGCAUAAGCACAGAUGGAAAAGACGGCCCUUCCUGUACAUCUCAAAGACAGGAAAAAUGAGACUCCAGAGCAGCAGUGUUCUAGAUGUUAAUGUUGCUCUUGAGAAAAGAAUUCACGAUUAGUAAUUGAGAGAAAUGCUUGAUACAUCGAGCUCUUAGAGAUGCACGAUGCUCAUGAGUCACAGGCUUGAGAAACACUGAAAUUUCCUUCAUGCAUAAAAAAUAUUUCAUCCAAGGUCGGCCAUGGAAGAACUUUUUUCAAGGCACGCUGAUUAAUAACAUGAGGGAAGCUAGGAUUUGGUGUGUAUGACCUGAGAAGCUCUAAAUUAGAAGAAACAGUAGAAGGACUUUACAGGGCAUUUGGAAGUGACAGAAGUUCUUAAAACAUGGGAAAACUAGCCUUUCUUAACAUCAACCUUUGUCUCCACUUAAAAUAUUUAUAGAUUUUAUUUUCCUAUGAAAUCUUUUUUUCUCAUCCUUGCAGCAGCCAUAGUUGCUGGCAUUCUUCUGAGCAGCUCAUGGAUAUUCUCAAGGCCCUUUGCAAGACACGACAAAGAAGCAUAGGGGCCAGAGCAUCUCCAGGCUCCAGCACCUACUGAGCUGUUACGAUGCCAGUGAACCCGUGUUUCUGGGAGAG